GUCAAUUUGAUUGGCAGUUUAGGAGGUGGGGCAUUGUAAUUAAAAGUCAACCUGGUCUCUGAUUGUUUAGUGAUAAUGACAGUUGUCAAUCAUACUAGUUGAAUCAAUACCCACUUACCUAAUCAAAAUGUUUUUUAAAAAAUCCUGCACAUCAACGACAUGCAUUCUUGAAUGAACUGCUCCAAUAAUAUACCCAUUUUUUUCAGUUUAUUUGUGUAUUAUGUGCACAUACAUG
rnacentral:lncRNA from 1 species